UACGUAGGUGACCAGCGUUGUCCGGAUUUACUGGGCGUAAAGAGCGCGCAGGCGGUCGUUCAAGUCGAGUGUGAAAGCCCCCGGCUCAACUGGGGAGGGUCAUUCGAUACUGAUCGACUUGAAGGCAGGAGAGGGAAGUGGAAUUCCCGGUGUAGUGGUGAAAUGCGUAGAUAUCGGGAGGAACACCAGUGGCGAAGGCGGCUUCCUGGCCUGUUCUUGACGCUGAGGCGCGAAAGCUAGGGGAGCAAACGGG
rnacentral:rRNA from 1 species